rnacentral:rRNA from 1 species
CCUCCAAGUGCAUAUAGAAGUGAGUACUACACUCUCUACCCUUUGUGAACUAUUAUACCUGUUGCUUCGGCGGCGCCCGCAAGGGUGCCCGCCGGUCUCAUCAGAAUCUCUGUUUUCGAACCCGACGAUACUUCUGAGUGUUCUUAGCGAACUGUCAAAACUUUUAACAACGGAUCUCUUGGCUCCAGCAUCGAUGAAGAACGCAGCGAAACGCGAUAUGUAAUGUGAAUUGCAGAAUUCAGUGAAUCAUCGAAUCUUUGAACGCACAUGGCGCCUUCCAGUAUCCUGGGAGGCAUGCCUGUCCGAGCGUCGUUUCAACCCUCGAGCCCCUGUGGCCCGGCGUUGGGGAUCUGCCACGGCAGGCCCCUAAAACCAGUGGCGGACCCGAAGGCCCUCUCCUUUGCGCAGUAGCAUCAGCCUCGCAUUGGGAUCCCUCGGCGUCCUGCCUCUAAACCCCCCACAAGUCCGCUCCGGCGGCACCAAGGUUGACCUCGGAUCAGGUAGGAAUACCCGCUGAACUUAAGCAUAUCAAUAAGGCGGAGGAA